rnacentral:tRNA from 3 species
CGGCCGUGGCCGGAUACGGGGCGGCUGCGCGAUUGGAAUUCUUGUUGGUGCCGCUCAGUUUCGGCAUCGGCGGGCC